rnacentral:rRNA from 1 species
CCUACGGGAGGCAGCAGUGGGGGAUAUUGCACAAUGGGGGGAACCCUGAUGCAGCGACGCCGCGUGGGCGAUGGAGUGCUUCGGCAUGUAAAGCCCUAUCAGCAGGGAAGAAAAUGACGGUACCUGCCUAAGAAGCCCCGGCUAAAUACGUGCCAGCAGCCGCGGUAAAACGUAUGGGGCAAGCGUUAUCCGGAUUUACUGGGUGUAAAGGGAGCGUAGGCGGCCGGGCAAGCCUGAUGUGAAAUACCGGGGCUCAACCCCGAGGC